rnacentral:lncRNA from 1 species
CCAAAUCCAAUUCCUAUGUCUGAGAGCGCUGUCCAAAUGCUCCCUGAGCUCCGGCACUCGGGGCCGUGCCCACUGCCCUGGGCAGGCUGUUCCAUGCCCACUGCCCUCUGGUGCAGACCCUUUCCCUCACCCCCAGCUGCCCCUCCCCUGACCUGAACCCCUUAGGUUCUAUUCUAAUCUCUCAUCAAAGAUUUGGAGAACAUUUUGAAGGGAUAUUGCAAUUUUUGAUCCAGCAUGUGUGCAUCUUUUGUGAAUAUUCUGUCAGAAGGCCAUGACAAAUGCUAAUACAUGUCUGCAGAAGCCACGUGAAGUCUCUGCAUUUACCUUGGCACCACAGAUACUGAGAGGAGCUGCUGGAAGGAACGGGGCUCUGCCCACGCCGCAGGCACAGCAAGAAGUCCUUCGGCUGCAAGUGCUCAGAGUGGACCUGACUUUACCUUCCUCUCUGUGCCUUUCUCUGCUCUCAGCCCUGGCCAUGCAGCCUUUGCAGCCUGCUGGCACUCGUGGGCCAUACUUACUCCUGGGGAGAGGCAGAGAUAAAACGACCCUCCCCGGGCCGGGUAUUUAUUUAGAGGAACCCAC